rnacentral:rRNA from 1 species
GGGUCUUGGGAUAUUUGGGGUUAAGCGUCCUUGGGUUUGAAUAGUACUAGGCUGGGUGACCUCCUGGGAAGUCCAAACUCAGGAGUUU